UACAGAGGUCUCAACCGUUGUUCGGAUUCAUUGGGCGUAAAGGGUGCGUAGGCGGUCGCGUAAGUCAGGUGUGAAAUCUCAGGGCUCAACCCUGAAACUGCACUUGAUACUGCGUGGCUCGGGUACUGGAGAGGAGACUGGAAUUUACGGUGUAGCAGUGAAAUGCGUAGAUAUCGGGAGGAACACCAGUGGCGAAGGCGGGCACCUGGGCUAACACUGACGCUGAGGCGCGAAAGCUAGGGGAGCAAACAGG
rnacentral:rRNA from 1 species